rnacentral:lncRNA from 1 species
GGACUCAAAAGAUUUUAAAAACUCAGUCAUCAUCUUUCUAGUAGUGCAAACCAAAUCAUAGACAUCCUAACUUUAGAAGCACAUUAUACAAUAUCCUAGUAUAGCAACCAAAUUCACCUAGUCAACAACUUAACAGAUCCUGUCUGACAAUCCCCUCUACUAACCUCAUUUCUUGCAUAAAAUAAAAGUGCAGGCUUUACCUUGGGAGUAUCGAUCAAGGAACACAUGGACUCAACUCAAGCAAGUAGGUAGUUUCAUCUGAUUCCUUUCUUCUCCCUACUCUCUUCUCUGAAUAUCUUUAUUAGUUUCAAUCCCAAUGAAUUUCGAUGUUGAUUAGACAUCUAGUUCAUCUUAUUGACAUGAUGCUCUUUUCCUUUUUUUUCUUUUUUUUCUUUUGACAAAGUGUAGCGAAUAAUAGGGUCAUAGGAGAUACUCAUACCCAUCGUUUCUACAAUGUGUGAUCAUUCCCUUCAGACUUAGAAUAAUGGGGUCACAGGAGACACUCUUACCCCUCUGCCUCUUCCAGGAAAUCAUCUCAAUCCUUUCUUUAUAAUUUUGAUCUUUGAGAUGCCGAAGAGAGAGAAGGAAGGGAACCAUCAACACAUAUGAGCGUUUACCUUUCAGACUUGCAGGAGGAUUCCGAUCCCUUGUAUACCAAGCCCCAAGACAAGCAAAUCAAGUCAAAUUAGGUUGGAGGUCAGCUUUGGUUCCUUCAAACACUCUCAGCAAGUGCAAACAUAGUGACAGUUUGAUCCACUUUAGUAUCUCUACUACUGGUCUAAAGAGUGGUUUAGAUGACAAGUAAUAAAUCGAAUUAGAUCAUCACCCUCUUCUUGACUCAAUAAAAACAAAUUUUGAAAAUAUUUUAAAUAAGACUCAUAAAGGUAGAUAAACGUUAGUAAUCCCCCUAGACUUAAAUUACGCUGUCCCCAGUGUAACACAGUCGGUGGUAAGGUGAAAAUCAUAAAGCAGAAGUACAAAAUUUAACAAGUAAGAACGAUAUCAUGCUCAGUAUCGAUCGAUACAAUGAAGUGACUAUCGAUCGUUGUUGAUGAAGUGUUGUUGAUCGAUAUCGAGAUGGUCACAUCGGUCGAUGAUCUUAGCAAUCGUCUACAUGGAUCUGUGUUUUUUUUUUUUUUUUAACUAAAACACAAUAUCAGUAGAACUUCCCCCAGACUUAGAUAACGCUGUGACCAGUGUAUAUCCAGUCGGAGUUAUGGUGUAAAUAAAUCAUAAGUAAUCAAUUUAACAAGUUAGAAUGAUAUAUUUGACCGGAAUGGAUGUCGAUCGAUGUAAACGUGUUGUCAUCGGUCGUGGAAGAUGUAGCAAUGUCGAUCGAUAUCGACUGUUCUCGUCGGUCGAUAUCAUGGCAAUCGUUUACUUGGGUCCCUAUUCUAAACAGCUAACUGACGUUGAUAUGAAUGUUGACCAACACAGUUAAGUGGCGAUCGAUACUCGUGAUAAUCUAUCAAUCAACACAAUUAAGUGGCAAUCGAUCGAUGCUAGUAAUGCUCUGUCGAUCGAUGUUAGCUAGCCAUUGUCGAUUUCUAUGGAAACUCGUCUUCCUCGGAUCUUUUCAUUGUACCUAACAUAAAUAAAACAGUAAAAGUCUAAAAGUUAGUAAUAUUUAACUAAUAAAACCAAUAAAUUUUUUUUUUUUAACCUGAAAUCAUUAGAAAACAAGAAAAAUCAGUAAUAAAUGAAAAUUAAACCAUAUUUAAAACAAACCUAACAGUGGGUUGCCUCCCACUCAGCGCUUAUUUUUAGUCAUUA